UGUGAAUUGAGACUGUGUAUAAG
ensembl:miRNA mir-2207 ncRNA